rnacentral:lncRNA from 10 species
CUUUACAUCCCCUUGAGAUGCCCAGAGUUCCUCAAGGUGUGAGAUUUCUUUUGCUGUAGCAAGUAAUAAACCAAACCUUGUUCGACUAGACAUGUGUUCCCAGCUUUCUUUGACUGGUGGGCAUAGUCACAGGUAAGCCUGAGUUACUCCAGGCUUCACAUGCACACAUUCUCAUGGAUGAGCUUAAAGACCUGGAAAACAUCUAGAGACCUCCACACAUGAGGUGAGGAGUGUGGGAGACAUUUUUUUCUAUACUCCCAUUAUUGUAACCUACAGACUUGUCCCUCUGAUGGUUAGCCAACUUUUUUUUUUUUUGGCA